UUCCGGUUGAUCCUGCCAGACCUGACUGCUAUCGGAUUGAUACUAAGCCAUGCGAGUCAUUGUAGCAAUACAAGGCAGACGGCUCAGUAACGCGUAGUCAACCUACCCUAUGGACGGGAAUAACCUCGGGAAACUGAGAAUAAUGCCCGAUAGAACAUUAUGCCUGGAAUGGUUUAUGUUCCAAAUGAUUUAUCGCCGUAGGAUGGGACUGCGGCCUAUCAGUUUGUUGGUGAGGUAAUGGCCCACCAAGACUAUUACAGGUACGGGCUCUGAGAGGAGUGGCCCGGAGAUGGGUACUGAGACACGGACCCAGGCCCUAUGGGGCGCAGCAGGCGAGAAAACUUUGCAAUGUGCGAAAGCACGACAAGGUUAAUCCGAGUGGUUUCUGCUAAAGGAACCUUUUGACAGUCCUAGAAACACUGUUGAAUAAGGGGUGGGCAAGUUCUGGUGUCAGCCGCCGCGGUAAAACCAGCACCUCAAGUGGUCAGGAUGAUUAUUGGGCCUAAAGCAUCCGUAGCCGGCUCUGUAAGUUUUCGGUUAAAUCUAUACGCUCAACGUAUAGGCUGCCGGGAAUACUGCAGAGCUAGGGAGUGGGAGAGGUAGACGGUACUCGGUAGGAAGGGGUAAAAUCCUUUGAUCUAUUGAUGACCACCUGUGGCGAAGGCGGUCUACCAGAACACGUCCGACGGUGAGGGAUGAAAGCUGGGGGAGCAAACCGGAUUAGAUACCCGGGUAGUCCCAGCUGUAAACUAUGCAAACUCAGUGAUGCAUUGGCUUGUGGCCAAUGCAGUGCUGCAGGGAAGCCGUUAAGUUUGCCGCCUGGGAAGUACGUACGCAAGUAUGAAACUUAAAGGAAUUGGCGGGGGAGCACCACAAGGGGUGAAGCCUGCGGUUCAAUUGGAUUCAACGCCGGG
rnacentral:rRNA from 2 species